rnacentral:rRNA from 1 species
UACGAAGGGGGCUAGCGUUGCUCGGAAUCACUGGGCGUAAAGGGUGCGUAGGCGGGUUCUUAAGUCAGAGGUGAAAUCCUGGAGCUCAACUCCAGAACUGCCUUUGAUACUGAGAGUCUUGAGUACGGGAGAGGUGAGUGGAACUGCGAGUGUAGAGGUGAAAUUCGUAGAUAUUCGCAAGAACACCAGUGGCGAAGGCGGCUCACUGGCCCGUUACUAGACGCUGAGGAGCGAAAGCGUGGGGAGCGAACGAG